CUCUUUUGUGUUCUUUUUGUAGUUAAUUAUUUUUUGGACUGUUGUGACGUAAUAAAUUUAUUUUGAUGCAGUGUGUGCCAUUUUUUCAAAACCAAGUUCACUGGUACUUUGAAUAUUUUUCGAGUUCAUAAAACCCCGUGAAUAUUUUCAUUCCCCUUUUCUUAUUCUUCAUGUUUAUUAUUUUUUUUCUUGUUGGUGGUUUUAUCUAUAAUCUUUGGGAGUUUCAUUUGAUUUAUUCCUUUUUGGUAUUGAUUGAUUCUCAAGAUUGUUUCCUUUUUAUUUUGUAGUGCUUGAUAACUUAAGUAAUGUACUUUACUCACUGUAUUAGGUUCAGAAAAGGUAGUGAAAUUGUUUGUAUUUGACUGAUAGUCCCUUCCCUUUUGUGUGCUGAAAUUCCUAAUAGUUAAUGAAUUGGAAGAAAUGUAGAAGACCUAAAUCCAUUCUUAGUCAUUAAUGUGAUUCUUACUGGUGUUGGUUUGUUCUCAAGAUUGAUUCACCAAAUCUUAUUUAUUUUAUUUUAUGUCAACUUUUGCUUCACCAAAUCAGCUCACAACCUGCUCAUCUGCUCAUAAUAUUAGUAGUUCACUUGAUUAUUUAUGCCCAUGACUGGUGAUGCAGUACCAAUUCAUUUCUACGUGCAUGUGUUUCAAUGAUUGCAUAUUUGUUGAAUGCCUCAUUUUCAAUUUACACACCUGUACAUUAUUGCAGUAUUGAUAAUUUUUUUCUUAAUUUUAAAUAAAAGGUAAGGAAAUAUUGAAAUUCUUUUCAAAGUCUAUAAUGAUUCUCUGCCUCUGUUGUUUCUCUGCUUCACACGAACUUAGUAGUUGAUGGCUGAAGAUUUUUCAAUGUUCGUAUUGCUGCUUGGAAUUAAUCUUCUUUGGAAUAGUGUAGUUGACUUGAACAAAGAAGGAAAGCCAAAUAUCGAAGUUCAUAAUAUUCUCUCUGAUAUGGAAGUUUUAAGCCAACAGAAAAACAAUAACUUGACUUUUCCAAUUGCUUGCUUUCUGAUUUACAGGGAAGUUUAUUCUUUUCUAUUUGUUCCGGAGUUUGGUUUGUUAGAUGGUGGCUACUGUUACAUGUAAUUGGAACUUAAAAGUCGGCUUGAAUAAGAAAAGUGGAAAAGAAGGCAAAGAUAGUUGAAAAGGUGGCUGAAGUGUAAAAGACUAAGGGUAUUCACUCGAGGAGAAAGAGGGCAAAGAUACUAGAAGACUUGUAUGCUCGUUUGCACCAACGUCAUUCUCAAGCCAAGCCAAAGAGGCAAUAAUACCUCUGACGACGAAAUAUGGAUAGACAACGUUUCCUUACAACCAUUCACAGAUAAAGAAUGGAGUUCUCAUCAAGUUGCAGAUCAUGUUCCUUGUCAAUGCUACUAUGACUCUUUUUAUAAGCAUUCCACCGUUUUCCUUACUAUCCCCUGCCCAAAGCAGGUGAAAGAUUCCCAGUAGCAAAUCCAAAUUUGGCUCCAAGGCAGUAAAGCUUGGACGGGUUGUCCAUGUUGAUGAGGUAUUUACACUAAUUCAUCUUCGAAAGGGCACUGACGCAUAUGUUGACUCUCAUAGGCCAAAUCUGAGAUAGAAUCUGUCCACCCCAUCAUUUUUCCAGCAACAAUGCCCACCAAUGCAGCCCACCCCAAUGUCGUCAUUUGUUUAACAAUAACUGCCUCCCCAACAUUUGCCUCUAUAAGAAGAAGAUUUUGAUGAUUAUGAUGACUAUUAGGAGUUGAUGAACUUUUUAAAACAUUUAUGUAUUGCUUUUUAUUUUAAAACUUAGUUGUUUUAUCUGUUGCUUGAAUUAUACAAUCAUA